AUUAUGUACUUGGCAUUGUUUUUCUUGGGUUAGGUAUAAACAUCAUAUCACUAUGCUACUCUAUUAGUUGCAUAAUUCUAUCCAAACAUUGCUCGGCCUGUUUAAGAUUUCUUAGAGAUCAUUAUUUGUUUUUCAUUUGAGCUAUCUAACUUGUGGUACUGUGUUUAAUUCCCAAAAGACUACAGAGCCAACUGAGUGUCAGAGGGCUUCCUAUCAUCCUGGGGACAACCCCACAGACUUCUUCAAAGGAGGCUUUGAAUCUGACGAUGAGGAUUCUUUUUGUGACCCAGACAUUGGGAUACUUCUUAUUGAGCGUGAAGGUGCUGUGCUCACAUCCUCCCAGCAUCUCAGUCCAGCCUCGUUGGAAAUCAUCAUUGAGGGAGAAGUCGUGAUGGACAACAUUCAAGAUCUGCCAAAAGCAAUGUGCAUUCUGUUUGGACUCAUGUAUGCACUCCAUCUUAACUACCCCAAGACUAUGAAGCUCACAUUUCAGUUCAUCCAACAGGUAUUGCUCUUGUUAGGCCACACUGACCUAAAGCCAAAGCUACAGACUUUGAAAAAUCAGCUCGCAAUGUAAAGAGAUGUCAAGUCUACUUUUAAGAAACUGUUGACUAUUUUUUUUUUCUUACCUGUGGGGUAAACCCUUUUAUUUUCUGUAAAACAGGUGGACAAACAGACGCAUAAAACGCACACACACACACACACAGACACAUACAACACCCACAAACAAAACUGACACACCUAUACACAUAUUUUGUGGGAAGCGUGCUAAAGGAUGUGACUUGUAGCGGAGUUGUAGCGGAAAGACAUAGGAGAUUGUUAUAUUAUAUACAUGUUUCAGUUCUUCAUCAGUCUAUGUAGAUGGAAUUAGAUAUUGUUCUGAUAUGAUAGUCUGUUGGUUCAUGCUCUGGCCUCCCUUCAUUGAGGCAGAUGAAACGGAUCCUUUUUGUGAUUAGCUGUGUUUGCCCAUUUUUCUUAAAAGUAAAAUGCAUUGGAGCAUUUACAGGUGUUUCUGUUUUUUUUAUCCAAUUUAAUUGAAACAAUGUUUAAUAACGUAUUUAAAUACCAAUCAAAAGCAAAUUAAAUUAGAGGAAAAUACAAUAAUUGUGUUAAAUGAUGAGUAGCAAUAACAAGUCAUAAUAGCUAGUUUUAUCUAAUGAUUUUGAGUACACACUACUAAUAAAUAUAAAUACUAAA